rnacentral:tRNA from 1 species
GUGAACUUAGCUCAGUGGUUGGAGCUUCACUCUUGAAUUUCAAGGUUGCAGGUUCAAUUCUUGCAGGUCCA